rnacentral:rRNA from 1 species
GUGGUAGCGGGUAAAGCUCGUAGUGGAUUCUGUCGAGAGGCCGGUCCGCUCUAUGAGCGUGUAUCUGGUUCGGCUUUGGCAUCCUCUUGAAGAACGCUGCUGUGUUUGUUGCAUGGUGCGGAAUUCACGACUUUUACUUUGAGGAAUUAGAGUGUUCACGGCAGGCUAGCGCCUUGAAAUAUUAGCAUGGAAAAAAAAUAGGACUUGGUUCUAUUUUGUGGGUUUCUAGAACUCGUUAUGAUUAUAGGGUAAUGGGGGGCUUUUGUACUAUCGGGCAAAGGGGGAAUCUUGAAUUGCGUUAUGCCAAACAAUGGCGAAAGCAUUUGCCAGGGAGGUUUUCUUUGAUC